UACGGGGGGGGCAAGCGUUGUUCGGAAUUACUGGGCGUAAAGGGGACGUAGGCGGCCAACUAAGUCCGACGUGAAAUCCCAAGGCUUAACCUUGGAACUGCGUCGGAUACUGGAUGGCUUGAAUUCGGGAGAGGGAUGCAGAAUUCCAGGUGUAGCGGUGAAAUGCGUAGAUAUCUGGAGGAACACCGAUGGCGAAGGCAGAUCUCUGGGCCGUAACUGACGCUGAGGAGCGAAAGCAUGGGGAGCGAACAGG
rnacentral:rRNA from 1 species